AAAAUGCAAGCCACUACCUUGAAUACCUUCUCCUGCUGGGGACAAAAACAAGACAUUGGGGGAAGAGGAAGCCAGUUGUGGGAGGAACCAGGAAGAGCUCAGUAAACAAGGAAUCUUUUCUGGAAGUUCCUGCAUGAGCUCUGCUAGUACCUCACUGGUGACCCCGCACCAUGAGGCGGAUAGGACAUGUGGUCCUUCACCUGGACACGUUGCCCUGCAGUGAAAUUAGGCUGCCAUCCACAAGCACGAAGAGAAGUACAGUAUUGGAUGGGCACCUUGCAGCUCCGCACAACUGCAUAUUGAAGGAAGAGGCCAGGAGAGGUGUGACUUUUCCAUAUUCCCAGUUCCAGAGGGCUAGGAGUACUUGGUGAGCUGCUCACUCUGAUGGCUACCAAAGCAAGGAAAUCGAUUACACUGGAAGAUGAGGAGCAUGAAGCUCAGAGAGGUUAAGUACCUAGACCAAGAGUAUUCCACUGCAGGUGGCGGGGCUCAGACUCAGGACUACCUUUGUCUGGCAUCUAGGCUUUUACCCACUAAGCCGACAUUGCUGCCGUUCCUCCUCUCCUCGUUACAGAUUUUCAUCUCUUAAUGAAUUAUAAGUUUGUUUUGUUCCCGUAAGUGAAAACUCUCCACGUAGAAGGAAAACACAGAAACAUAAAGAAAAGUGGAUCAAUGGAAGUUGGGUAAUUCUACCAAAAAUUCACUUAUUUUCCGUGUCCAAACUGUGCCUCAAGUUACUUUCAAUUCAAUCUUAAGAUUGCCAGUCAGCUGUUUGUAAGUGUUGAAUUAUCAAAAGCUGAGAAAUAAUGGGUCCAUCCAUCAUCGGGCUGGGAGUAAAUGUACUUCAGCAUCGGUGUGGAUUCCCAGUCCACAGGAUAUUAUUCUGGGCAUCUUACUAAAAUUUUCCAGAGCCAACAUGGGCAUGGAAUAUUCCAGGUCACUUGGUUUCAUUUUGCUCACCAUUUUAACUCUCCCAGACACUUCCCAUUUGAUUUUCUCUACCUGAAAUUUCAUUCAAGAUUUUUGUUUCCACCGUCAGGAUACCUACGUCUAGGAGCCUUAGAGACACAUGGUUGGACAGUGGAUUUCUUCUGACUUGUUUCUUCUCCUUGAUCCUGGCUUCAAGUCUGACAAAUCUGGUUAUCUCCUUUGUAAAAGUUUCUUUGGAGAAAGGCAUGUAGUGCUUCAGAGCUACCCAAGGUCAACUGAACUUUGAAACUAAUUAGUAAUUGUUUGAGCGUUUGUUCUGUGUCCAGUGCAACUGCAUUUUGACUGAGUAGGACAUCCAGCAAGGAAGAAAAGUUUCGGCAUAACUGCCAUUAGUUAAUAAGGUUUCCAAGUGAAACUUUUCUAUUCUCAUGCAAAUACGUUAGCAUUAAUCAGCAUCCUCUUGUCAUGGCAAAACAAAUGGGAGCAGAGCAGUGAGGACUAUGAGAACAGGGUAAACGAUAUUUAGAAAUCCCACCUCUGGGGGCACAUGGGUGACUCAGUCAGUUGAGUGUCCACUGAUUUCGAGGUUUGGUUCCAGAGUUUGAGCCCUGUG